rnacentral:rRNA from 1 species
CCUACGGGAGGCAGCAGUGGGGAAUAUUGGGCAAUGGACGCAAGUCUGACCCAGCAACGCCGCGUGAAGGAAGAAGGCUUUCGGGUUGUAAACUUCUUUUAAGGGGGAAGAGCAGAAGACGGUACCCCUUGAAUAAGCCACGGCUAACUACGUGCCAGCAGCCGCGGUAAU